AUACGGGGGGUGCAAGCGUUAUUCGGAUUUAUUGGGCGUAAAGAGCGCGUAGGCGGCUUGGUAAGUCAUAUGUGAAAGCCCGGGGCUCAACCCCGGAAGUGCAUUUGAAACUAUCAGGCUUGAGUAUGGGAGAGGGAAGUGGAAUUCCUGGUGUAGAGGUGAAAUUCGUAGAUAUCAGGAGGAACACCGGUGGCGAAGGCGACUUCCUGGACCAAUACUGACGCUGAGGCGCGAAGGCGUGGGGAGCAAACAGGAUUAGAUACCCUAGUAGUCC
rnacentral:rRNA from 1 species